UACCCGCUGGCGAUGGGCAGAGACACCUUGGUGGUGGUGGUGUUCCUAUAUCAGUCAGGGACAGAGCAGUUGACAGUCUUCUGCUCAUCCUAGCUUGAUGCAUAGUUUAGUGGCCAAAGCUGUCUUAUGCCUAGGACACAUAA
rnacentral:snoRNA from 1 species